AGUAACGCGUGGGUAACCUGCCUCCAUACAGGGGGAUAACAGUUAGAAAUGACUGCUAAUACCGCAUAAGCGCACAGUGCUGCAUGGCACAGUGUGAAAAACUCCGGUGGUAUGAGAUAGACCCGCGUCUGAUUAGCUAGUUGGUGGGGUAACGGCCUACCAAGGCGACGAUCAGUAGCCGGCCUGAGAGGGUGAACGGCCACAUUGGGACUGAGACACGGCCCAA
rnacentral:rRNA from 1 species